rnacentral:rRNA from 1 species
GACGAACGCUGGCGGCGUGCCUAAUACAUGCAAGUUGAGCGAUGAAGAUUGGUGCUUGCACCAAUUUGAAGAGCAGCGAACGGGUGAGUAACGCGUGGGGAAUCUGCCUUUGAGCGGGGGACAACAUUUGGAAACGAAUGCUAAUACCGCAUAACAACUUUAAACAUAAGUUUUAAGUUUGAAAGAUGCAAUUGCAUCACUCAAAGAUGAUCCCGCGUUGUAUUAGCUAGUUGGUGAGGUAAAGGCUCACCAAGGCGAUGAUACAUAGCCGACCUGAGAGGGUGAACGGCCACAUUGGGACUGGGACACGGCCCAAACUCCUACGGGAGGCAGCAGUAGGGAAUCUUCGGCAAUGGACGAAAGUCUGACCGAGCAACGCCGCGUGAGUGAAGAAGGUUUUCGGAUCGUAAAACUCUGUUGGUAGAGAAGAACGUUGGUGAGAGUGGAAAGCUCAUCAAGUGACGGUAACUACCCAGAAAGGGACGGCUAACUACGUG